UGAUUGGUAUCUUAAUAUUUUAAUAAUCAUGGAUAUGGGUAUGGUGUAUGAGUGGUAUGAAGAAUCAUUGGCAUCGGAGACUCACACAAUUAGGCGGUCACACAACAGGAAUUAAAAACCAAAGAAAAUGAGUUGAUUAGCUCCAUCAUCAAAUCUACUGAUAAAUCUAUAAUAAAAAACCAAGUCUUCUUCUAUGGUUGAGAAAAUUCUAGGUGACCUGGCUUUUUUUUUUUUUUCCGUGGGGAAGGCGAUCGACCUAGUAGAC
rnacentral:lncRNA from 1 species